AGGCCGCUAACGGAGUUGCUGGGGAAUUAAUCUAUAGACAAAAAGGCAGCCAAUUGGGGGAUUAAUACACAUUGAUACACACGGAACCGAGAGGAAGAAAAACCAUAGAAAAGCUGGUUGGAAAUAAGAGAUUUCACAUUGGAUUCCAAGAAAGGCUGCCGGCUGAGUUUUUUGUGCAACUUUCUUCAAUAAUUGUGCAAGGAGCUUGAAAAUUGAAUCACUUCCCGUCGAUUUUCGGUGAUUUCCUUCCACUUUUAUUUGUUUAAUUCAACAUGAUGCUAGGCUAAAUCUUUACAUAUUUGCGCACCAUUAGGAUAAUAAAUUGCUUAUUCGUAGUGUUGGAAAACUCAUGAUAGCUAGAGAACUAUUAUUAGGACACACGGACAAUAAAUAUUAGGAAUAAUAUUUGUGACGUUUAUGAUUAUAUGUGAAUUUUUAAAUGUCAAUGCAUGUUUGCCAUAUGAAUUUGGAUUAGGAAUAUGAUCGUCUUGUGGUAAUCAUAGGUUUAUCAUAUCUUAGAAAAGAAUAAUAAAUAAAAGUGAAAUUAUCGAUUGUCGCAAUGGCAAAAAAUUUACGUAGUUAUUACUGGUUGAGAAUUAGAAUUAAGUAUUGAUCAUUGGCGUCAAAAAUCUAAUACGUUGACACAUUUGAUUUUUAAACCAACUUUCAUUGUUUUCGCAAGUUUUAGUUAUAAAAAUUCGUUAGCUAUUCAUUCGAUCUUUUUUAUUACAAACACGAAUUUAAAUAUAUCAAAUAUAUUAGAAUUGAUCAUUAUUUCAUGUGGGACAAUAACUCUUUCAUCAUGAUCAUUACUUAUACAACGAACCCAUAUGUUUGUGAAAUUUUGACGAACAGUGCUUAUUAACUCUAACUUUAACCUAUGUUUGUCUCUUUCUUUUCUACUGCAUUAAAUAUUAGCAUCAAGUUUAGAUUAAAUUGAUUUCAUAUACUUCUAUAACAACUUAAUCUACUUUGGUCCGGUGUAAAUAUAGGUGCUGACCUUUUAUUCUACAUUUUCUGAAAGGGAUUGCUUUUGAAGAAGAAUGCAAAAUUUCUGAACUUUAAGAAUGAUUUUUGUUUUUGGAAAUGGGAUUGCUUCUAACAAAAUCCAUUGCUUUGAGACCUGUUUUUUUUUGUAAGUCAGUAAAUCUUGUUUAACACGGUCAUCCAUAUUUUAUAGGCUCUUCAACAUGCAAAAGAAGCCCUGAGGUUACGAAAGAAGCUUUUAGCUAAAAUGUUUUUUUUACUUAAUUGUGAAAAGGAAAGAAUUUUAUGAAUAAGAGUGGAAAUGUUAAAGGAAUACAUGAGUAUUGAGGCGUUAGAGAUUUCUUAUCUAGUAACGAUUGAUUUUUUUUUGGGGGGGGAGCAAUUCUUGUGAAUUUGACUACAUUAUUACUCCUUGGAAUGUACUUAGCAUUUACCUUGAUCGCGUCUUUUAGGUAUAGAAUUCUUUAAUUCAAAUAUUUUGGUUAAAACUUUAUAUGAAAUAAUGUUUCUGUUAUAUAUCAUUAUUUUAUUUCAAUUAUUUGUGAGUCAGAGGUUGCAAGCAUAAAUGAGAAUAUAGGAAUUGCGCAAGAAGCUCAAACUUCUUUACUAUGGGAAAAAGCAUCUUCCAAUUUCAGGUUUGACACUUUUUGGAAUUUAUUUUUCUUCUAUGUUCAGAUGAUUGCUUUAUUUUUUUUCCCCUUACUUUAUCAUAAUUUAACCAAAGAUAUUAAUGGUAUGUUUGAUUGCAAGUAUGAAAUUUACAUGAAAAGAAAAUAAUUUCUAGGAAAAUUGUCAAUUAAAGUGUUUGAUUGAUUUUAUUUUCAACCUAGAAAAUGUUAUACUUGUCAAUUUUUUAUUAAUAGGUAAAUAGGAGAGAGGGGGAGGGAGUAGAUGAGAGAGAAAAAAAGAAUGAAUUACCUAGAAAAUAAAAAUCUACUCUCGAGGAACAUAUUUUCCUUGUUUUGAAGGAAAAUAUAGUCAUGUGACCAAAAGUAGGAAAAUAUUUUUCAUGGAAAAAAUCAAUCAAAAUAGCUAUGAAGUAGGAAUUUGGGUAGAAAAAUAUUGGAAAUUAAACGCACUAUUAACUUAUAUUAAAACUUUAUCCUGAAGAUUAUACGGCAAAAGGUUUUGUUGGAGCCAGUUAGAAAAUGUGUUAUGUAGUAUAUGAUAAUCGCGCAGUUAUUACUUGUACGAAAUGUUCAAAUUCUCUGAAAGUGACAAUUAAUUAGGAAACGAGAGAUUUACUUUUAUGUAAAUCUUAUAGGAAUGUAGAAAGGUCGCCUAUCAAUGAAUUAUAUCGUGUUAAAUAUAUGUACAUAUUGACAUUAAAUAAGUUAAUUUCUUCUGAGUGGAGGCAUGUUGACUAUAAGUCAUUGGAUAAGAGAGUUCAUUUGAUGAUUGUGUAAAAGAGACUCAGAGCUUGUUUGAGAGUAAUUUUUCAUCCCAAAAAAAUUGAUCUUUUGAUCGUUAUUUCACUAUUCCAGCUGUGAAGUUUGACUUCUUCUCUCAUGGGUGGCUCUCACUUUUCUCCCAACGGUCACAAAAUUAAUUUUCAAAAUCAUUCCCAAACGGGGUCUAAGAAGAAAUUACAGUAUGAUAUACUCGAUCUUGUAUUGACUAGUUUUGAGACUAAUCAAAUUUAUCGCCUUUGUGACUAGAUAUGUUGGCGGUGUGUUUAUCUUGAAACUGUUAAAUUUGAUUCUUUG
rnacentral:lncRNA from 1 species